CGUGGCUGUGUGCGAGUUGCAGUGAGUGGGCCCACGCUCUGGCUGUCGGGCACGGCUCUUCCCUGCCGUGGCUUCUCUUGCUGUGGAGCACGGCCUCCAGGGCUGCAGGCUUCAGGAGUUGCAGCGCGUGGACUCAGAAGUCGGAGCUUCCAGGCUCUAGAGCGCAGGCUCGGUAGCUGUGGUCCACAGGCUUAGCUGCUCCGAGGCAUGUGGGGUAUUCCCAGGCAGGGAUCGAACCCGUGUCUCCUGUAUUUGAUCUAGAACUGUAAAAGGCGGUGAGAAAGCCAUCCCACGCAUUAAUGUGCUCCAGAACCAGGCACUUCCUCCCCUGGAUGAAGCGUCAGUGUGAAUGGUGGCCUGACAGGUGAUGAGAGGUGGGAGGAAGGAAUGAGACCAGGACAACACGGCUGGCACCUUCCGCCUGGGGGGGCUCGACCACACGCAUCUCCCAGGUCUGCAGAGGACGCGCCAGGCUUUGGCGACACAGACUUAACGGGGCACCUGGGCCCCGAGGACUUCACUGUCCAGGGAGGGAAGAAGACAGAAUUAAUGUCACUAUGGCGUGGGGAGGGCUCAGUGCAGAAGAAGGCGGGCCGUGACAGCACAGCGUGUGAGCCUCGGGAGACACAGGCAGGCCUGCUGGUCACCGGUUGCAGGUUUAAUUAUCGUGGCCUUUGUCUUGGCUGAGCUGUGGCAAACGCCUGUGCUGUUUGCUUUGUAAUUCGGGGCACAACGCUAAAGGCCUGAGGUCUGAGGUGCUUCCUGCAUGCGGGCAGGAAUUCACGCGUCAAAUGCUCACUUGCUGGGGGUGGGGGGUGGGGUCCCUGCUCGUUUCUGCAGAUGCUGAGGAUUGACGGUGUGGUGGCGUUUGGUUUCACCAUUAAACGGUCCUUACCACCUUCUGACGUCUUGGCUCCAUGUCUUUGGAUAACAGGUCCACAUACUGGAGAGGGAGGUCGCGUUACUCAGAGUCUAGAGAACUGAAAAACAAGAGUCUGGUGACCGUCUCUGGAGCCCCUGGGGUCUGGGCUCAAGCCUGGCCUGCCCCCUGCCCUUGGUGGACACCAUCACCCUCUUUGGCCGAGACUGGACACAGCUGAGACUCCUUUGGAACCCAA